GAUGAACGCUGGCGGCGUGCCUAAUACAUGCAAGUCGAGCGAACGGACGAGAAGCUUGCUUCUCUGAUGUUAGCGGCGGACGGGUGAGUAACACGUGGAUAACCUACCUAUAAGACUGGGAUAACUUCGGGAAACCGGAGCUAAUACCGGAUGAUAUUUUGAACCGCAUGGUUCAAAAGUGAAAGACGGUCUUGCUGUCACUUAUAGAUGGAUCCGCGCUGCAUUAGCUAGUUGGUAAGGUAACGGCUUACCAAGGCAACGAUGCAUAGCCGACCGGAGAGGGUGAUAGGCCACCCUGGAACUGAGACACGGUCCAGACUCCUACGGGAGGCAGCAGUAGGGAAUCUUCCGCAAUGGGCGAAAGCCUGACGGAGCAACGCCGCGUGAGUGAUGAAGGUCUUCGGAUCGUAAAACUCUGUUAUUAGGGAAGAACAUAUGUGUAAGUAACUGUGCACAUCUUGACGGUACCUAAUCAGAAAGCCACGGCUAACUACGUG
rnacentral:rRNA from 1 species